rnacentral:rRNA from 1 species
ACGCGAAGAACCUUACCUGGGCUAGAAUGCCUCUGACAACCUUAGAGAUAGGGCCUUUUGGGUAAAACCAGACAGAGUGCGAGGUGCUGCAUGGCUGUCGUCAGCUCGUGUCGUGAGAUGUUGGGUUAAGUCCCGCAACGAGCGCAACCCUUAUCAAUAGUUGCCAUCGGGUAAAGCCGGGCACUCUAUUGAGACUGCCGUUGACAAAACGGAGGAAGGUGGGGAUGACGUCAAGUCCUCAUGGCCUUUAUGUCCAGGGCUACACACGUGCUACAAUGGCAGGUACAAACCGCCGCAAACUCGCAAGAGGGAGCCAAUCGGAAAAAGCCUGUCUCAGUUCGGAUUGGAGUCUGCAACUCGACUCCAUGAAGCUGGAAUCGCUAGUAAUCGCAGAUCAGAAUGCCGCCGUGAAUACACUCGUGAGUGAGGAAAGAACCC